rnacentral:rRNA from 1 species
UACGUAGGGUGCGAGCGUUGUCCGGAAUUAUUGGCGUAAAGAGCUCGUAGGCGGUCUGUCGCGUCGAAAUGUGAAACCCGGGGCUCAACUCCGGGCUUGCAUUCGAUACGGGCAGGCUAGAGUUGGUGAGGGGAGUCUGGAAUUCCUGGUGUAGCGGUGAAAUGCGCAGAUAUCAGGAGGAACACCGGUGCGAAGGCGGGACUCUGGGCCGAUACUGACGUGAGGAGCGAAAGCGUGGGGAGCGAACAGG